GCAGAAUCGCAAAGGUGAAUCGAAGACAUCAACACGAAGGCUAGUAAAUGCGCUGCAUUCUCGUACAACUAAGCAUAUUUCUUCUGACAAUAAGUCUGCUAUCAAGACUUUAAUUGAAUAUGACGUUGACGAUACUUUGGAAAUCAAGGAAGAGAUCAUUGAAGAUAAAGAGACAAUUACAGCCCAGAAGCUGAAUAAAACAAGCGAGUUACAAUUUUGUACUGUAUAUAUAAGAGAAGAUGAUAUCUCGGAGGUUCAGACAAAACGGUACACAUGCAAAAAGUGUGGUCGAAACUAUAAAACGAAAUAUCAUAGGAAUUCUCAUCAAAAAUUUGAAUGCGGCGUUAUGCCACAGUUCAGUUGUAAUUUCUGCGACCAUCUAUUUAAACGGAAAUCUGCCCUGAAUGCGCAUUUACAUCGCGUGCAUCACAAAACAAAGUCAAAGACGUUGGUAUUGAAGUAUAAAUGCGACAAAUGUCCUCGAAGUUACAAUUGGCUAGGAAGUUUAACUCGGCACAAAAGUUUAGUACAUGCAGUAGACAAACCACAAUUUAUUUGCGAUUAUUGUGGAUAUAAGUCGAAUAGGAAAUGUAACUUCGUAAAACACAUGACUGCUCUCCACUCACAGUUAUCGUCCUUGAUUGUAUGCGACAUAUGCGCUCGAAGUUAUCGUUCGCCAAGUGGUUUAUAUCAACAUAAACGUAUAGAACACGCAGCAGUUACACCACAGUUUAAUUGCGCUAAUUGCAAUUUUAAAACUAAGCGCAAAUAUCACUUGUUAAACCAUAUCACUGCAAAGCAUUUUAAUUAGCCAUAAUUAUUAGGCAUGGUAACCUUUUUUCUACUCAGUGGUACUUUUUCAAGUUCCGAGAAGUUAUAUUUUUUGUUCUGCUUCUAAAUAAACAUAUUUCACUCUUCUUAAUUGUCAGAUUUGUUAUUAUAUGUUUUUUCUACUUGAAAAAAAUAUAGUUAUGGGAAGCUAUUGAUGAUCGAUUUCAUUUUGAAUUACCAGUUAGUGUUUACAAUUAGGAACUUGUGUAACUAUUGAAUUUUUGUGAUUUAAGUUUUAUUUCAGUGAGUCUCAAAUCAGUAUAAUUAGUAUCCAUAUAAAAUACUGUAUUUUUAUACAAUUCAGAACUGGGUGGUACAUUAUUUUAUAUGAAUGAUUUACCAUUUAAUAUAAAAUAUGAUAGCCUUUUACGCAAUAGUAUCAUUCUACAACGAAUGUAUUUUCUUCUCUGACAGUAAAAUAAUGUACUUUUUUAAUUUGAUGUAUUAUUCUAAUUUUAUCUGCGGUAAUUUUUUUGUAAUUUUAUGACACUGCGAGAAGUUUAUGAAUGCAAUGCAUAAAAUUAAUAUUGUUUAAAUCUAAAUACCCUAUAGCCUUCUCUAAUGUAAAUUAUGUCCAAGAAGAAUAUAUUUUUCUGUGCAUAAUUACUUUUCAUUUAUUUAAACGUAAAUCUGCCAUGAGUAAAUGCGGAAUAUGUACAUACAUGCAGCAGUGAAACCACAAUUUAUUUUCCAUUUUUGCGGAUUCACAAUUUUCUACGGAUUACUUUUCUCAUAAAUCAAAACAAAAUUCACUUGUCAAUACACUGUCAAGAUUCUAUAUAAAAUGAGCCCAGGAUGAAACUAAUUUAUCUAUUUUUUAUGUAGAUAUUGCAAAAAUAGUGUAACUUUUAAUGUUUUCUUAAAUUUGCAAUACCUUCCGAAACAAUCAACAUUUUUCAAUGUUUUUGGUCUCAUUUUGAAGUUAUUUUUCACCUACAACAAAAGCAUAUUGAUAUAUGUCAUAUCAAUUUUGUUAUCGAAUUUCAAGAACUUGAAGAUCUAAUAAAAAAGUUGGAAAAAUUUGAAAAAAAUUUAUCUGUAGGCAAAUCAUAAUAAAAAUGUAAUAAUUCUAAACUUUGCGGAUAUUUUGUAGAAGCUUCAUGAUUAUAGGUUUCAUAUAUUCUUCAAAAAUGUGUUUUCUAUCACAAAGAAUAUUGUAAUUGUUCCAACCCUUUUGUUACAACUUUAAGUCCUUGCUAUUCGAUAAGGCAAUUUUUAUGAUUCAUACUCAAACUGUUAUAACACGGUGAAAAAAUAUCUUCAAAAUGAAUCAAAGAACAUUAAAAAAUGUUGAUUAUUUCAAAUGUUAUUGAAAAUUUCAGAAAACAUUGAAAUUUCAACUAUUUUUGCAAUAUCUUCUUAAAAAAUAAAUUGACUUCAUUCGGGGCAUAAUUCGGGGUUCAUUCAUGCUCUGCCAUAAUUAAAAUUAAGAGAACUUAAUCAGUCAUCAAAAAAGAGGUUUACGACAACUUUUUACACUCAUUUUAGGUAUGGGAAGCCAUAUUUUAAUGAUAAAUUUAUUUUUGAUUUACUAGCUUCGGUGAACUACUUAUGAUAUUGAGGAAAAUACGGGUAGUGGUUAAAGAGGCCAUAGUCGCUUUAAUAAAAGAUGCGUGAUAUGUACAAAGGUUGUUUUGUCCAGUUUAAGUAUUUAUGAGUGCAGUAACUAGUGGUGAAAAAAUUAGAUUAAUUAGGUAUUUCAAGGUGUGACUGCUGACAAAUAAAACUGUUAAUGUAAUAAGAAUAUUGACAAUAAAAUAAAAAAAAUUCUGAGAUUAA